rnacentral:lncRNA from 1 species
UCGGGUUAGCCUGGCAUUCGAGGGCCGAGCCUCGGGAGAUUCCGCUCGUUGGUCGUGCGCCUGUCGCUUGCCGCCCGACGGGAUUUCUCCGUGGCCAGCUGCGAUCGUGUUUCUCCUCCUCUCCAAGCGUUGCUUGGGGAACACCAGAUGGGCAUUAAAUGCUAAUUGAGGGGUUACCUGGAAAAUCGGAUCGCCAGUUGCUGCUUGCGAAGAGUGUCAGUUAAGCGGCCGCGAUACGCGCGUUCUUCGAGGCGGAUGCGGCCUGGGCGCGAGCGGAGAUACGUGGACCUAGGGGUACAGGCCACCCGGAGUGUCCUGCACAAAGAAUGCGAUUAAGGAGAAUGAUGCUUAGGAAAUCGCGGGAAGAUACGCCUCGAGAGCCGGAUCGGCUCCGGAUUCAAUGCGCCCGCAUUUAUUGGAGCCACCCGCAUCGGAACGACCGGGGGGCCGCAGUUUGGCUAUAAAUAUAGGUGCAGGUGCGAUGGAGCCUGCCAAGCCGGAGCUGUUCAGAUUGCCAUGGAUCGUGGGCCUCCUCUCCGGCGCAUGGUUGAGAGACCCCUAUCGAAGGAAUGGGAGGCGCGCCUUUCGCGACUUCUGCCAACUAGCCGUUUCAUCUGGGAUCAACAAGGAGGUUCUCCCCGGCGGAACUCCGCUCUAGGCGUUUCAUCCGGGAUCACGUCUCCCCUCCUUGAAGUUCGGCCUCCCGAUUGAGCUCCGCACCAGACGCUUGAUCCGGGACCGCGCCUCCAUAUGCUCUUCUCCCUUGUAUUCCUUCUCUCCCCUAACACUGGGGAGGACCGGAAUAUCCCUUGGAGGUGGCGUUCCCCUGGAGGCAGCGGAAGCUUCUUCUGCGGCGGCUCCUCGUCUUUUUUGUGAGGCGUGGAUGGCGCCUCUGGGUAGGAGCAGUGUGGACUUCUCCUUCGUCCACUUCUUCUUCAUCCGCACCGGCUCUUCGUCUUUUUCGUGAGACGCCGAUGGCGCCUCCGGUUGGAAGCACCCACUUCCGGCGGGAUUGCAGCCGCUUCAGAUGGAGGUUUCGGGAUUCCAGAUCUUCAGCUCCUCGGAGUCUCCACCUCUUCUUUACUUUCUUUACACCCUAAUUCCCCUCUGGGAAUUCCUUGUAAUCACACGAGCACGCCAUCGUAACCAGAAAUUAUUGAAAUGAAAAGUGUUAUACAUUUUUGAACUGUCUUUCUGGCAUUGUCGUUCUACUGGUAAUAUAUCCGCAGGUUAGCGGAAUUCCAGCUCCUUGGAAUUUCUCGACCAUCUAGGGCCUCCAACUGGUAGGAGCCAGGUCGGUUUACCCAGCGAACCCUAUACGGGCCUUCCCAAUUUGGCGCUAGCUUCCCACCUUCCGCAGGUUGAGAUGCUUUAGCUCGCCUUAGCACCAGAUCUCCGAUUCUGAAAAGCUUCGGUCGGACCUUGGAGUUGUAAUAUCGGGCCA